UACGGAGGGUGCAAGCGUUAUCCGGAAUCACUGGGUUUAAAGGGUGCGUAGGCGGUUUGAUAAGUCAGUUGUGAAAUUCCCCGGCUUAACCGGCGGGACUGCGAUUGAUACUGUCAGACUUGAAUCAGGUUGAGGUAGGCGGAAUGUGGCAUGUAGCGGUGAAAUGCAUAGAUAUGCCAUAGAACACCGAUUGCGAAGGCAGCUUGCUGGACCUGUAUUGACGCUGAGGCACGAAAGCGUGGGGAGCAAACAGG
rnacentral:rRNA from 1 species